rnacentral:rRNA from 1 species
GUGCCAGCAGCCGCGGUAAUACGGAAGGUCCGGGCGUUAUCCGGAUUUAUUGGGUUUAAAGGGAGCGCAGGCCGGGGAUUAAGCGUGACGUGAAAUGUAGGUGCUCAACGUCUGCACUGCGUCGCGAACUGGUUCCCUUGAGUGAGUACGACGUCGGCGGAAUUCGUGGUGUAGCGGUGAAAUGCUUAGAUAUCACGAAGAACUCCGAUUGCGAAGGCAGCCGACGAGUCCUUAACUGACGCUAAUGCUCGAAAGUGCGGGUAUCGAACAGGAUUAGAUACCCUGGUAGUCCGCACGGUAAACGAUGGAUGCCCGCUGUUGGCGAUACACUGUCAGCGGCCAAGCGAAAGCGUUAAGCAUCCCACCUGGGGAGUACGCCGGCAACGGUGAAACUCAAAGGAAUUGACGGGGGCCCGCACAAGCGGAGGAACAUGUGGUUUAAUUCGAUGAUACGCGAGGAACCUUACCCGGGCUUGAACUGCAGGAGAAGGAUACAGAGAUGUUGACGCCCUUCGGGGCUCCUGUGGAGGUGCUGCAUGGUUGUCGUCAGCUCGUGCCGUGAGGUGUCGGCUUAAGUGCCAUAACGAGCGCAACCCCUUUCUUCAGUUGCCAUCACUUCGGGUGGGCACUCUGGAGACACUGCCACCGUAAGGUGUGAGGAAGGUGGGGAUGACGUCAAAUCAGCACGGCCCUUACGUCCGGGGCUACACACGUGUUACAAUGGGUGGUACAGAGAGCAGGCCGCCGGCAACGUCGGUCGAAUCAAUAAAGCCAUCCUCAGUUCGGAUUGGGGUCUGCAACCCGACCCCAUGAAGCUGGAUUCGCUAGUAAUCGCGCAUCAGCCAUGGCGCGGUGAAUACGUUCCCGGGCCUUGUACACACCGCCCGU